rnacentral:rRNA from 1 species
CAGGCCUAACACAUGCAAGUCGAACGAAGGCUUCGGCCUUAGUGGCGCACGGGUGCGUAACGCGUGGGAAUCUGCCCUUGGGUUCGGAAUAACAGUUAGAAAUGACUGCUAAUACCGGAUGAUGACGUAAGUCCAAAGAUUUAUCGCCCAGGGAUGAGCCCGCGUAGGAUUAGCUAGUUGGUGAGGUAAAGGCUCACCAAGGCGACGAUCCUUAGCUGGUCUGAGAGGAUGAUCAGCCACACUGGGACUGAGACACGGCCCAGACUCCUACGGGAGGCAGCAGUGGGGAAUAUUGGACAAUGGGCGAAAGCCUGAUCCAGCAAUGCCGCGUGAGUGAUGAAGGCCUUAGGGUUGUAAAGCUCUUUUACCCGGGAUGAUAAUGACAGUACCGGGAGAAUAAGCUCCG